rnacentral:rRNA from 1 species
GGAUUAGAUACCCUGGUAGUCCACGCCGUAAACGAUGAUCACUCGCUGUUGGCGAUACAUAGUCAGCGGCCAAGCGAAAGCAUUAAGUGAUCCACCUGGGGAGUACGCCGGCAACGGUGAAACUCAAAGGAAUUGACGGGGGCCCGCACAAGCGGUGGAACAUGUGGUUUAAUUCGAUGAUACGCGAGGAACCUUACCUGGGCUUAAAUGUAGAGUGCAUGAACUGGAAACAGUACUUUCCUUCGGGACUCUUUACAAGGUGCUGCAUGGUUGUCGUCAGCUCGUGCCG